rnacentral:rRNA from 1 species
UACGUAGGUGGCAAGCGUUGUCCGGAAUUACUGGGCGUAAAGGGCGUGUAGGCGGCCUUUUAAGUCAGACGUGAAAACCCUGGGCUUAACCCAGGAACUGCGUUUGAAACUGGAAGGCUUGAGGACCGGAGAGGGUAGUGGAAUUCCCAGUGUAGCGGUGAAAUGCGUUGAUAUCCACAGGACCUCCGGUGGCGAAGGCGGCACGCUGGACCCGCCCUGACGCUGAGGCGCGAAAGCCAGGGGAGCGAACGGG